rnacentral:rRNA from 1 species
AUUGAACGCUGGCGGCAUGCCUUACACAUGCAAGUCGAACGGUAGAGGGGGCAACCCCUCGAGAGUGGCGAACGGGUGAGUAAAGCAUCGGAACGUGCCCAGUAGUGGGGGAUAGCCCGGCGAAAGCCGGAUUAAUACCGCAUGAGACCUACGGGUGAAAGGGGGGGAUGGCAAGAACUCUCGCUAUUGGAGCGGCCGAUGUCAGAUUAGGUAGUUGGUGGGGUAAAGGCCUACCAAGCCGGCGAUCUGUAGCUGGUCUGAGAGGACGACCAGCCACACUGGGACUGAGACACGGCCCAGACUCCUACGGGAGGCAGCAGUGGGGAAUAUUGGACAAUGGGCGCAAGCCUGAUCCAGCCAUGCCGCGUGUGUGAAGAAGGCCUUCGGGUUGUAAAGCACUUUCAGUAGGGAGGAAGGGUGUUGUGUUAAUAGCACAGCAUUUUGACGUUACCUACAGAAGAAGCACCGGCUAACUCUGUGCCAGCAGCCGCAGUAAAAC